rnacentral:rRNA from 1 species
GGAGUUAGCCGGUGCUUCUUCUGUGAGUGAUGUCCUUCCUGCCGGUUAUUGACCCGCAGGCCUUCUUCCUCACUGAAAGUGCUUUACAACCCGAAGGCCUUCUUCACACACGCGGCAUGGCUGGAUCAGGGUUGCCCCCAUUGUCCAAUAUUCCCCACUGCUGCCUCCCGUAGGAGUCUGGGCCGUGUCUCAGUCCCAGUGUGGCUGAUCAUCCUCUCAGACCAGCUACGGAUCGUCGCCUUGGUGAGCCGUUACCUCACCAACCAGCUAAUCCGACAUAGGCUCAUCCGAUAGCGCGAGGCCCGAAGGUCCCCCGCUUUCCCCCGUAGGGCGUAUGCGGUAUUAGCCUGGGUUUCCCCAGGUUAUCCCCCACUACCGGGCAGAUUCCUAUGCAUUACUCACCCGUCCGCCGCUCGCCACCAGGGAGCAAGCUCCCCGUGCUGCCGCUCGACUUGCAUGUGUUAGGCCUGCCGCCAGCGUUCAAUCUGAGCCAGAAUCGAAACCUNACUCGAGCGGCG